UACGAAGGGGGCUAGCGUUGUUCGGAUUUACUGGGCGUAAAGCGCACGUAGGCGGAUUGUUAAGUCAGGGGUGAAAUCCUGGAGCUCAACUCCAGAACUGCCUUUGAUACUGGCAAUCUCGAGUCCGGAAGAGGUGAGUGGAACUCCUAGUGUAGAGCUGGAAUUCGUAGAUAUUAGGAAGAACACCAGUGGCGAAGGCGGCUCACUGGUCCGGUACUGACGCUGAGGUGCGAAAGCGUGGGGAGCAAACAGG
rnacentral:rRNA from 1 species